UACGUCUGUGAAAAAUCACAAUUAUUCCUACCUGCGCGGCCGUGGGCCUGCUCUAAAGUACAUCUGCUUUGAGGAAGAAUACAUUUAUAUCCUUUGAGGAAGAAUAUAUUUAAUUCCACGCGGUUUUAAUAUGUUUACGUCAAGGUAAGUAAGCUCGGCGUGAAUGACAACCCAUCAGAUGUUAACACUGAAACUGACAGCAGUGGGAAUGAGGUUUCCUAUGCGAUUACUGGCACUGAGCAAUAAUUAAAGCCUCUUUUCGUCGUACCUUGCAUCGAGGAAGCGCGAGCGGAGGAUCAUCACCGCCUCGCACGUGCUCUGCUUCAGCUGCAUCUGGAUGGUGCUGAAUUUGCCGUGGAUGAUGUUCACCAUCCGUUCGAUUUCUUUGGGAGAAAUGGGUCUGGUCCGGCUCUGUUCCCUGAGCAGGUUCAUGACGUGGGUGGUGAACUCGCUGCAGGCCUGAAAAUAAAGAUAUUUGUAUCGAGAAACGAUGAAACACCCCCUAAAUGAAUUCCCCCCAACAAGAGUACAUAUCCAAACAAAACAAAACAAAA